UACGGAGGGGGCGAGCGUUGUCCGAAGUUACUGGGCGUAAAGCGCGUGUAGGCGGGUUGUCACGUCCGCUGUGAAAUCUCGAGGCUCAACUUCGAGCUGUCGGUGGAAACUAUCUGGCUAGAGUCCGGAAGAGGAGAAUGGAAUUCCUGGUGUAGCGGUGAAAUGCGCAGAUAUCAGGAAGAACACCCGUGGCGAAGGCGGUUCUCUGGGACGGUACUGACGCUGAGACGCGAAAGCGUGGGGAGCGAACAGG
rnacentral:rRNA from 1 species